rnacentral:rRNA from 1 species
CAGCCGCCACGGUAAAACGAAGGGUGCAAGCGUUACUCGGAAUUACUGGGCGUAAAGCGUGCGUAGGUGGUUGUUUAAGUCUGCUGUGAAAGCCCUGGGCUCAACCUGGGAAUUGCAGUGGAUACUGGGCAACUAGAGUAAGGUAGAGGAUAGUGGAAUUUCCGGUGUAGCAGUGAAAUGCGUAGAGAUCGGAAGGAACAUCUGUGGCGAAGGCGACUAUCUGGGCCAUUACUGACACUGAGGCACGAAAGCGUGGGGAGCAAACAGGAUUAGAUACCCCUGUAGUCCCUGUCUCUUAUAC